rnacentral:rRNA from 1 species
GCAGAACGCGAAGAACCUUACCAGGGCUUGAAAUCCCGAGAAGGCUCUCGAAAGAGAGCUGUGCCUUUUGGAACUCGGUGACAGGUGCUGCAUGGCCGUCGUCAGCUCGUGUCGUGAGAUGUUGGGUUAAGUCCCGCAACGAGCGCAACCCCUAUGUUUAGUUGUAUUUUUCUAGGCAGACUGCCUCGGUAACGGGGAGGAAGGAGGGGACGACGUCUGGUCUUUAUUGCCCUUAUGUCCUGGGCUAGAAACGCGCUACAAUGGUCGGUACAAUGGGUAACAGCCAAAUCGCGAGAUGGAGCAAAUCCCACCAAAGCCGAUCUCAGUUCGGAUAAGAGGCUGAAACUCGCCUCUUUGAAGUCGGAAUCGCUAGUAACCGUAGGUCAGCACACUACGGUGAAUCCGUUCCCGGGUCUUGUAC